GCCAAAUGAUGUCACCUGGAUGGCACGAGCACUCUGUGCAAAGAUGACCUUCAUCUAUCACCCAGAGCUGAUGGCU
rnacentral:snoRNA from 1 species